AAAAUAAGCGUUUGAGAGAUGGAGUGACACAGUAGGAUAAGCUAACCGUACUGUUGGUUAUGUACGGCUAAGCAUUGAGGCAGUCUAAAUAGGCAAAUCCGUUUAGACAAUGCUAGGAUGUGAUGGGGAAGCCCUCCGGGGCGAAGUAGCUGAUUUCACACUGUCAAGAAAAGCUUCUAUCGAGUUUAAAGGCGCCCGUACCGUAAACCGACACAGGUGGGUGAGGAGAGUAUCCUAAGGCCAGCGAGAGAACUAUUGUUAAGGAACUCGGCAAAAUGACCCCGUAACUUAGGGAGAAGGGGUGCCUGUCUAUGACAGGCCGCAGAGAAUAGGCCCAAGCGACUGUUUACCAAAAACACAGGUUUCUGCUAAGUCGCAAGACGAUGUAUAGGAGCUGACGCCUGCCCGGUGCUGGAAGGUUAAGGGGAUCUGUUAGAGCAAUCGAAGCAGUGAACUUAAGCCCCAGUAAACGGCGGCCGUAACAAUAACGGUCCUAAGGUAGCGAAAUUCCUUGUCGGGUAAGUUCCGACCCGCACGAAAGGCGUAACGAUUUGGGCACUGUCUCAACAAUAGACUCGGUGAAAUUGUAAUCCCGGUGAAGAUGCCGGGUACCUGCGACAGGACGGAAAGACCCCAUGGAGCUUUACUGUAGCUUGACGUUGGGUCUUGGUACUACAUGUACAGGAUAGGUGGGAGACUAUGAAGCAUGGACGCCAGUCUGUGUGGAGUCAUCCUUGGGAUACCACCCUUGUAGUACUGGGAUCCUAACCAUAGGCCUUGAAUCAGGUCUUGGAACACCGUCAGGUGGGCAGUUUGACUGGGGCGGUCGCCUCCUAAAAAGUAACGGAGGCGCUCAAAGGUUUCCUCAGCACGGUCGGAAAUCGUGCGAAGAGUGUAAAGGCAAAAGGAAGCUUGAUUGCAAGACAUACAGGUCGAGCAAGGACGAAAGUCGGACUUAGUGAUCCGGUGGUACCGCAUGGAAGGGCCAUCGCUCAACGGAUAAAAGCUACCCUGGGGAUAACAGGCUUAUCUCCCCCGAGAGUCCACAUCGACGGGGAGGUUUGGCACCUCGAUGUCGGCUCAUCACAUCCUGGGGCUGUAGUAGGUCCCAAGGGUUGGGCUGUUCGCCCAUUAAAGUGGUACGCGAGCUGGGUUCAGAACGUCGUGAGACAGUUCGGUCCCUAUCCGUCGCAGGCGUAGGAAAUUUGAGAAGACCUGUCCUUAGUACGAGAGGACCGGGAUGGACGUACCUCUGGUGUACCAGUUGUUCUGCCAAGGGCAUGGCUGGGUAGCUAUGUACGGAAUGGAUAAGCGCUGAAAGCAUCUAAGCGCGAAGCCAACUUCAAGAUAAGAUUUCCCACCGUAAGGGUAAGACCCCAGGAAGACUACCUGGUUGAUAGGUCGAAGGUGUAAGUGCAGUAAUGUAUUUAGCUUAUCGAUACUAAUAGGUCGAGGACUUGACC
rnacentral:rRNA from 1 species